AGAGUUUGAUCAUGGCUCACAUUGAACGCUGGCGGCACGCUUAACACAUGCAAGUCGAACGGCAGCAGGCUUAAGUUUACUUAAGUGCUGGCGAGUGGCGGACGGGUGAGUAAAGCGUAGGAACCUACCCUGUAGAGGGGGAUAACCCGGGGAAACUCGGGCUAAGACCCCAUGAGCUCUGCGGAGGAAAAGUGGCAUUCGUGCUGCUGCUAUAGGAAGGGCCUACGUUGGAUUAGCUAGUUGGUGGGGUAAAGGCCUACCAAGGCGACGAUCCAUAGCUGGUCUGAGAGGACGGACAGCCACACUGGGACUGAGACACGGCCCAGACUCCUACGGGAGGCAGCAGUGGGGAAUAUUGGACAAUGGGGGAAACCCUGAUCCAGCGAUGCCGCGUGUGUGAAGAAGGCCUGCGGGUUGUAAAGCACUUUAGUUGGGGAGGAAGAGCGCUGACAGAAAAUGUUAGUGUGAUGACGUUACCCAAAGAAUAAGCACCGGCUAACUCUGUGCCAGCAGCCGCGGUAAUACAGAGGGUGCAAGCGUUAAUCGGAAUUACUGGGCGUAAAGGGUGCGUAGGUGGUGAAACAAGUCAGCUGUGAAAUACCCGGGCUUAACCUGGGGAGGUCAGUUGAAACUGUAUGACUAGAGUCGAGUAGAGGGGAGCGGAAUUCCUGGUGUAGCGGUGAAAUGCGUGGAUAUCAGGAGGAACACCGGUGGCGAAGGCGGCUCUCUGGACUCAGACUGACACUGAGGCACGAAAGCGUGGGGAGCGAACAGGAUUAGAUACCCUGGUAGUCCACGCCGUAAACGAUGAGUACUAGCUGUUGCGAGCUUUAAGCUUGCAGUAGCGCAGCAAACGCAUUAAGUACUCCGCCUGGGGAAUACGGCCGCAAGGCUAAAACUCAAA
rnacentral:rRNA from 1 species